rnacentral:rRNA from 1 species
UACGAAGGGGGCUAGCGUUGCUCGGAAUCACUGGGCGUAAAGCGCACGUAGGCGGAUUGUUAAGUCGGGGGUGAAAUCCUGGAGCUCAACUCCAGAACUGCCUUCGAUACUGGCGAUCUUGAGUCCGGGAGAGGUGAGUGGAACUCCGAGUGUAGAGGUGAAAUUCGUAGAUAUUCGGAAGAACACCAGUGGCGAAGGCGGCAUCCUGGACCAUUACUGACACUGAAAAGCGAAAGCUAGGGGAGCAAACGGG